CGGCUUAGUGUGAGAUAGAAAUAUGCCCACCGAAUCCUUCUUAACAAUGAAUGAAAGUGAAAGAAAUGAAGUUUAACCCCCUCG
rnacentral:tRNA from 1 species